GCACCGGCUAACUACGUGCCAGCAGCCGCGGUAAUACGUAGGGUGCGAACGUUGUCCGGAAUUACUGGGUGUAAAGGGUGCACAGGCGGCUUGGUGCGUCAGGGGUUAAAUACCACUGCUCAACAGUGGAGUUGCCCUUGAUACGGCUGGGCUUGAAUUUAAGAGAGGAUGAUAGAAUUCCUGGUGUAGCGGUGAAAUGCGUAGAUAUCAGGAGGAAUACCAGUGGCGAAGGCGGUCAUCCGGCUUAAUUAUUGACGCUUAAGCACGAAAGCGUGGGUAGCGAACAGGAUUAGAUACCCUGGUAGUCCACGCCCUAAACGAUGUAUGCUUGGUGUUGUGGGUUUUGACCCUCAGUGCCGUAGGUAACCCGUUAAGCAUACCACCUGGGGAGUACGAUCGCA
rnacentral:rRNA from 1 species